rnacentral:rRNA from 1 species
UGGCGGACGGGUGAGUAACGCGUGGGUAACCUGCCCUGUACAGGGGGACAACAGUUAGAAAUGACUGCUAAUACCGCAUAAGCGCACAGGACCGCAUGGUCCGGUGUGAAAAACUCCGGUGGUACAGGAUGGACCCGCGUCUGAUUAGGUAGUUGGCGGGGUAACGGCCCACCAAGCCGACGAUCAGUAGCCGACCUGAGAGGGUGACCGGCCACAUUGGGACUGAGACACGGCCCAAACUCCUACGGAAGGCAGCAG